rfam:Fukomys damarensis contig114241, whole genome shotgun sequence.
GGGGAUUUAGCUCAGUGGUUUGGGCGCCUGUCUCGAAAGCACAAGGUCCUGAGUUUGAUCCCCAGGACCCCCA